UACGGAGGGUGCGAGCGUUUGUCCGGAAUCAUUGGGCGUAAAGCGCACGUAGGCGGCUUUGUAAGUUAGAGGUGAAAGCCUGGAGCUCAACUCCAGAAUUGCCUUUAAGACUGCAUCGCUUGAAUCCAGGAGAGGUGAGUGGAAUUCCGAGUGUAGAGGUGAAAUUCGUAGAUAUUCGGAAGAACACCAGUGGCGAAGGCGGCUCACUGGACUGGUAUUGACGCUGAGGUGCGAAAGCGUGGGGAGCAAACAGG
rnacentral:rRNA from 1 species